GCAGACAUUUGCUCAAUGAGCAGUUUCUCUUUCAGGUUCUCAACCUGUUUCUCUAUAGCAACAUUGCCCUUAGUCAGAUGAGCAACCUAUGUAUUUGAAGAACUGGAGCUCCCUGCCUGUUGGGUCUCUAAUAUGGCAUUCCUUGUUUUCAACUUUCUAAUUUCUUCAGUAGCACUAUUGUGAACAUUUAUAAGCAGGGAAAUCAUUGAAGUGCUCCAUACCCCUCCAAUUAUGUCAAUACACUCACAUUCCUCUAGAGUAGUUUUGCAGAUAGUCUGUUUUUGGGUCCCAUCUUAGGCUAUCCCAAAUGCACUUUAAAGAAUUUGAAGGCACGCGUGACGAGAAAUCCAUAGGGGAGGCCAUGAUUUCCAUCUUUGAAUGCUGCCACCUUUUGCAUAUGCUCAAUCGUUAUGGCUGGUAGAUUAACAGUUUGAAACUCAUCUAGUGCUUCCAUUAGAUAUGGAUCAGCCUUGGACGUGAUGGACCUCUUGUUAGAGUGAGGAAGCAGGACCUUGUUUACCAACUCAAAAAUCAACUGAUAAACAUGAAGCAAAGCUUUCUUAUGCACUUGUUUCCCCUGCUACACUGAUUUCUCUUUAGCUAUGACAUGCCUAAAGUUUGAGCCACAGGAACCUCUAACAGAAGACAGACCUUCAUUAGGAACUCUAAGUUAGUCUCCUAACACAGCAGAGUCCAUAAAAAUGUCUACGCCAUUCACUAGUGCGCAGAUGUGAGCAGAUUCAAUAGUAAAAAGGCUUGCAUAGAAACGUUGAACGCUUCCUCAUAUACAUUGGGCACAUCCACCUUGAAUAGGUGUCCCCACUGUUGAAAUUCAGCCAUCUCAAGCACUUGCCACAUGCCAGCCAUCUGAGAUAUCGCAUGUUUAAAAGUACGACUCCAUAGUACUUUCUUGUACCUCAGCCUUUCUUUGCCAGAUAUACUUCCAUGUCUUUCCUUCUUCACAGAACCGAGUUCUUUCACAUCCACCAAUUUCCUUUUCACAGACUUUCCACUGGACUUAACUUUCCCACUCGACUUCACUUGCACAUCCUUAUCAGACACAGAAUCUUCUACCACAGUUUCCUUCAACUUGUCACUAUCCUUUACUGACUUUUCACUAGGUGUUCCAACAACCUCUUUU
rnacentral:lncRNA from 1 species